AUUGAACGCUGGCGGCAUGCUUUACACAUGCAAGUCGAACGGUAACAGGCCUUCGUUUGCUGACGAGUGGCGAACGGGGGCGUAAUGCAUCGGAACGUGUCCCGUGGCUGGGGGAAACGCAUCGAAAGCUGUGCUAAGACCUCAUAUGGUCUGAUGAUUUAAGCGGCGUAGCAAACUACAAAGAUUGGCCUCUCCCCUCUGUAACGGCCGAUGUCAGAUUAGGUAGUUGGUUGGGUAAAGGCCUACCAAGCCGACGAUGUGUAGCUGGUCUGAGAGGACGAUCAGCCACACUGGAACUGAGACACGGCCCAGACUCCUACGGGAGGCAGCAGUGGGGAAUUUUGGACAAUGGGCGAAAGCCUGAUCCAGCAACGCCGCGUGAGGGAAGAAGGCCUUCGGGUUGUAAAACGCUUUUGUAAGGAACGAAAAGGUUUUGGCUAAUACAUGCGGCUGAUGACGGUACCAUAAGAAAAAGCACCGGCUAACUACGUG
rnacentral:rRNA from 1 species